rnacentral:rRNA from 1 species
AGACAACCAGGAGGUUGGCUUAGAAGCAGCCACCCUUGAAAGAGUGCGUAAUAGCUCACUGGUCAAGUGAUUUCGCGCCGACAAUUUAGCGGGGCUCAAGCAAUCCACCGAAGCUAUGGCAUUCGUACAUGUACCCGGCCCUUUGGGGUCCAGGUGUGCGGAUGGGUAGGGGAGCGUCGUGUGGCGAGCGAAGCGGCGGGGUGACCCAGCCGUGGACGCCACACGAGUGAGAAUGCAGGCAUGAGUAGCGAAUGAGGAGUGAGAAACUCCUCCACCGAAUGACCAAGGGUUCCAGGGUCAAGCUAAUCUUCCCUGGGUAAGUCGGGACCUAAGGCGAGGCCGACAGGCGUAGUCGAUGGACAACGGGCUGAUAUUCCCGUACCGGCACUGAAGCGACCCUGCUGAAUCCAGUGAUGCUAAGUGCCCGAAACUAGCCUCCAGCUCCUUCGGGAGCAUUGGCUAGCAGAGCGCAUGACCCGAACUGGUACUAGGCAAGCAAUGGUGUGACGCAGGAAGGUAGCUCAACCGCGGCGAUGGUAGACCGCGGCCAAGGUCGUAGGGCGAACGGUAGGCAAAUCCGCCGUUCAUGUGCCUGAGAGCUGAUGGGGAGACGAUUUAGUCGAAGUGAGUGAUCCUAUGCUGCCGAGAAAAGCAUCUAGCGAUGUUUCAGAGCCGCCCGUACCCCAAACCGACUCAGGUGGUCAGGUAGAGAAUACUAAGGUGAUCGAGUGAAUCAUGGUUAAGGAACUCGGCAAAAUGCCCCCGUAACUUCGGGAGAAGGGGGGCCGGAUUCGUGAGUGGACUUGCUCCACGAAGCGUUGAAGGCCGCAGAGACCAGGCCCAAGCGACUGUUUACUAAAAACACAGGUCCGUGCUAAGUCGAAAGACGCCGUAUACGGACUGACUCCUGCCCGGUGCUGGAAGGUUAAGGGGACGUGUUAGCGCAAGCGAAGCACAGAACUUAAGCCCCAGUAAACGGCGGUGGUAACUAUAACCAUCCUAAGGUAGCGAAAUUCCUUGUCGGGUAAGUUCCGACCUGCACGAAUGGAGUAACGACUUGGGCGCUGUCUCAACCAUGAACUCGGCGAAAUUGCACUACGAGUAAAGAUGCUCGUUACGCGCGGCAGGACGGAAAGACCCCGGGACCUUUACUAUAGUUUGGUAUUGGUGUUUGGUUCAAUUUGUGUAGGAUAGGUGGGAGACUGUGAAGCCCGGACGCCAGUUCGGGUGGAGUCAUCGUUGAAAUACCACUCUGAUUGAACUAGAUAUCUAACCUAGGUCCAUUAUCUGGAUCAGGGACAGUGCCUGAUGGGUAGUUUAACUGGGGCGGUUGCCUCCUAAAAUGUAACGGAGGCGCCCAAAGGUUCCCUCAGCCUGGUUGGCAAUCAGGUUUCGAGUGUAAGUGCACAAGGGAGCUUGACUGUGAGACUGACAAGUCGAGCAGGGACGAAAGUCGGGACUAGUGAUCCGGCGCUGGCAUGUGGAAGCGGCGUCGCUCAACGGAUAAAAGGUACCCCGGGGAUAACAGGCUGAUCUUCCCCAAGAGUCCAUAUCGACGGGAUGGUUUGGCACCUCGAUGUCGGCUCGUCGCAUCCUGGGGCCGUAGCAGGUCCCAAGGGUUGGGCUGUUCGCCCAUUAAAGCGGCACGCGAGCUGGGUUUAGAACGUCGUGAGACAGUUCGGUCCCUAUCCGCCGCGCGCGUAGGAAACUUGAGAAAGGCUGUCCCUAGUACGAGAGGACCGGGAUGGACGAACCUCUGGUGUGCCAGUUGUUCUGCCAAGAGCACGGCUGGUUGGCUACGUUCGGAAGUGAUAACCGCUGAAAGCAUCUAAGCGGGAAGCACGUUUCAAGAUGAGGUUUCCCACUGGUUUAUCCAGGUAAGGCCCCCAGCAGACCACUGGGUUGAUAGGCCGGAAGUAGAAGUGCAGCAAUGCAUGGAGCUGACCGGUACUAAUAGGCCGAGGGCUUGUUUCU